ACUUGGCUGUCAAGGGCUGCCUGGAGAGCAAUCUCCAGGUGAAACCUGCCAAAUUCGGGGAAGCCUAAACCGCAAGGCACGGUAAUCCCGAGCCAAGCCUCUCCGGUCGGAACCGGUGAGGAAGGUGUAGAGACUAGACGGCAGGCACCCUCCAACGAGGGUGAAGGGAUAGUCCAGACCACAAACCCGAAAGGGGCAA
rnacentral:ncRNA from 1 species